rnacentral:rRNA from 1 species
UGGGGAAUAUUGGACAAUGGGCGCAAGCCUGAUCCAGCCAUGCCGCGUGAACGAUGAAGGCCUUAGGGUUGUAAAGUUCUUUUGUCAGGGAAGAUAAUGACGGUACCUGAAGAAUAAGCACCGGCUAACUUCGUGCCAGCAGCCGCGGUAAUACGAAGGGUGCUAGCGUUGUUCGGAAUCACUGGGCGUAAAGCGCGCGUAGGCGGCGAUAUAAGUCAGAGGUGAAAGCCUGGAGCUCAACCUCGGAACUGCCUUUGAUACUGUAGAUCUCGAGUCCGGAAGAGGUGAGUGGAAUUCCUAGUGUAGAGGUGAAAUUCGUAGAUAUUAGGAAGAACACCAGUGGCGAAGGCGGCUCACUGGUCCGGUACUGACGCUGAGGUGCGAAAGCGUGGGGAGCAAACAGGAUUAGAUACCCUUGUAGUCCCUGAGCGGGCUGGCAAGGCGCAU